UGGGGAAUUUUGGACAAUGGGCGAAAGCCUGAUCCAGCCAUGCCGCGUGCAGGAUGAAGGCCUUCGGGUUGUAAACUGCUUUUGUACGGAACGAAAAGCCUCUUUCUAAUAAAGAGGGGUCAUGACGGUACCGUAAGAAUAAGCACCGGCUAACUACGUGCCAGCAGCCGCGGUAAUACGUAGGGUGCAAGCGUUAAUCGGAAUUACUGGGCGUAAAGCGUGCGCAGGCGGUUUUGUAAGACAGAGGUGAAAUCCCCGGGCUCAACCUGGGAACUGCCUUUGUGACUGCAAGGCUGGAGUGCGGCAGAGGGGGAUGGAAUUCCGCGUGUAGCAGUGAAAUGCGUAGAUAUGCGGAGGAACACCGAUGGCGAAGGCAAUCCCCUGGGCCUGCACCUGACGCUCAUGCACGAAAGCGUGGGGAGCAAACAGGAUUAGAUACCCUGGUAGUCCACGCCCUAAACGAUGUCAACUGGUUGUUGGGUCUUCACUGACUCAGUAACGAAGCUAACGCGUGAAGUUGACCGCCUGGGGAGUACGCCGCAAGGUUGAAACUUAAAGGAAUUGACGGGGUC
rnacentral:rRNA from 1 species